rnacentral:rRNA from 1 species
UACGUAGGGUGCGAGCGUUAAUCGGAAUUACUGGGCGUAAAGCGUGCGCAGGCGGUUUUGUAAGUCUGACGUGAAAUCCCCGGGCUCAACCUGGGAAUUGCGUUGGAGACUGCAAGGCUAGAAUCUGGCAGAGGGGGGGGUAGAAUUCCACGUGUAGCAGUGAAAUGCGUAGAUAUGUGGAGGAACACCGAUGGCGAAGGCAGCCCCCUGGGUCAAGAUUGACGCUCAUGCACGAAAGCGUGGGGAGCAAACAGG